AAAACCUCAGUCUCUGAUUUAUCAUUGAUUGGUCUUGCUUCGGAUGCCCAUGGCGUCCCCUGCGAAAUCCAAUGGCGAAGAGCCACGCAGCCAAAGCGUAGUAUAAUCAACCUCGUAAUGGAUGUGUGUGUGCUUCUGCCGUAACCACCAAAUUCUUAGU
rnacentral:misc_RNA from 1 species